AUUCAAUCUCAGCCGUUCAUCGUGAUCAGGAAAUCGCAACCGUAGCUAUUGCUUACUACAGAUCGCCACUCGGCAGUUUAUCUCUGUACCUCUCUUGACCUCUCUCUUCUCUUCGAUCCUGCAAAUCUCCCUCUAUUGCCUUCUGAAGCACUUCAUGCUAUGGCACCUGUUCGGGGCAUGCUCUAUCUUCAACGAACAGUAUUGACAAGGAUUUAUAAUGAUAGAUGGGGUAUAGGGUUGAGAGCAUUUAGCAAUCAGGGUGCAGCUGCUACUAGCAGCCCUCAGCCUCCCCCACCUCCUCCACCUCCAGAGAAAACUCAUUUUGGUGGCUUGAAGGAUGAGGACCGAAUCUUUACCAACUUAUACGGUUUACAUGACCCCUUUCUCAAAGGUGCCAUGAAACGUGGUGAUUGGUACAGAACUAAAGAUUUAGUACUCAAGGGUUCCGAUUGGAUUGUCAACGAGGUCAAGAAGUCUGGCCUCCGCGGUCGUGGAGGUGCUGGGUUUCCAUCUGGACUCAAAUGGUCAUUCAUGCCAAAAGUAUCCGAUGGUCGCCCGUCCUAUCUUGUUGUCAAUGCUGAUGAAAGUGAACCCGGAACGUGUAAGGACAGGGAAAUCAUGCGGCACGAUCCACACAAACUCUUGGAAGGUUGUCUGAUUGCUGGAGUUGGGAUGAGGGCUACUGCAGCUUAUAUAUACAUCAGAGGUGAGUAUGUGAAUGAGCGAAGGAACCUUGAAAAGGCCAGAAAAGAGGCUUAUGAAGCUGGAUUGUUGGGCAAGAAUGCCUGUGGAACUGGUUAUGAUUUUGAUGUUCACAUCCACUUUGGUGCUGGAGCUUACAUUUGUGGUGAAGAAACAGCUCUAUUGGAAAGCCUUGAAGGGAAACAGGGGAAACCAAGAUUGAAGCCUCCUUUCCCUGCUAAUGCAGGUUUAUAUGGAUGCCCUACCACUGUUACAAAUGUGGAGACCGUGGCUGUUUCUCCUACUAUUUUAAGGCGUGGACCCGAAUGGUUUGCCAGUUUUGGGAGGAAGAACAACUCUGGUACCAAAUUGUUUUGUGUAUCGGGACACGUGAAUAAGCCUUGCACUGUUGAAGAGGAAAUGAGCAUUCCACUGAAAGAGUUAAUUGAAAGGCACUGUGGAGGGGUUAGAGGUGGAUGGGAUAACUUGCUUGCAGUAAUUCCCGGAGGUUCCUCAGUUCCAUUGCUUCCCAAGCAUAUAUGUGAUGAUGUCCUUAUGGAUUAUGAUGCACUAAAGGCUGUCCAGUCUGGAUUGGGCACUGCUGCUGUAAUUGUUAUGGAUAAAUCGACUGAUGUUGUGGAUGCUAUUGCAAGGCUCUCUUAUUUUUACAAGCAUGAAAGCUGUGGACAGUGCACUCCCUGCAGAGAAGGUACAGGAUGGCUUUGGAUGAUAAUGGAAAGAAUGAAAGUUGGAAAUGCGAAGUUGGAAGAAAUUGACAUGCUACAAGAGGUUACCAAGCAGAUUGAAGGGCACACCAUCUGUGCCCUUGGUGAUGCUGCUGCUUGGCCUGUGCAGGGUCUUAUAAGGCAUUUUAGGCCUGAGCUUGAAAGAAGGAUCAGAGAGCAUGCAGAAAGGGAGUCGAUCCAGGCAGCUGCUUAGGAUUCUCUUUCAGGAAAGCAGGCAAGUUCAUGAUGGAGCUUUUCGAACUUGGAAAUUCCUGCUGCAGUCGUUACUAAUAAACAUUUAAUGAUGCGAAAAAGAUUGAUUCAAUUUUCUGCCCAAUUCUGUACACUCAUGAGUAGAGGUGUGAACCUUGUUUUCAAGCAUCAUGGAAUUCCAACUUUGAUGGGAACUGCAAAUAAUGAAACUGCCCCAGAUAAACGAAUGCUUGGUGUGACUCGAGCGUCUCGAGGUCAUGUCUGUUUGCUAUUUCAAAAAUGACUUAUAAGUGUCUCGUAGAAACUCGUUUCUAGUUGUUGAAGCGUCUUCAAGGCUAGAAUUAUUAUAAAUCUUGUCUUUGGUGUAUUUUCAAUGCCUCUCUUAACAUCAUUUGAUGGUUGAUAUCAAUGUUUUCUUUUAUGUUGUACUCAUCUGAACAAAAAUUUUAUCUCCCUGUGCAACAUCAAUAAAGGGGAAAGUUAAGCUUUAAA